GCAAGUCGAGCGGUAACAGAAAGUAGCUUGCUACUUUGCUGACGAGCGGCGGACGGGUGAGUAAUGCUUGGGAACAUGCCUUGAGGUGGGGGACAACAGUUGGAAACGACUGCUAAUACCGCAUAAUGUCUACGGACCAAAGGGGGCUUCGGCUCUCGCCUUUAGAUUGGCCCAAGUGGGAUUAGCUAGUUGGUAGGGUAAUGGCCUACCAAGGCGACGAUCAAUAGCCGACCUGAGAGGGUGAUC
rnacentral:rRNA from 1 species